rnacentral:rRNA from 1 species
UACGUAGGGUCCGAGCGUUGUCCGGAAUUACUGGGCGUAAAGAGCUCGUAGGUGGUUUGUCGCGUUGUUCGUGAAAACUCACAGCUCAACUGUGGGCGUGCGGGCGAUACGGGCAGACUGGAGUACUGCAGGGGAGACUGGAAUUCCUGGUGUAGCGGUGGAAUGCGCAGAUAUCAGGAGGAACACCGGUGGCGAAGGCGGGUCUCUGGACAUUUCCUGACGCUGAGGCACGAAAGCCAGGGGAGCAAGCGGG